rnacentral:rRNA from 1 species
AGUGGCGCACGGGUGCGUAACGCGUGAGCAACCUGCCCAUAUCAGGGGGAUAGCCCGGAGAAAUCCGGAUUAAGACCGCAUAUGAUCGCACUUCCGCAUGGGAGGGCGAUGAAAUAUUGAUAGGAUAUGGAUGGGCUCGCGUGACAUUAGCUUGUUGGCGGGGUAACGGCCCACCAAGGCGACGAUGUCUAGGGGCUCUGAGAGGAGAAUCCCCCACACUGGUACUGAGACACGGACCAGACUCCUACGGGAGGCAGCUGUAAGGAAUAUUGGUCAAUGGAGGGAACUCUGAACCAGCCAUGCCGCGUGCAGGAAGACGGCCCUACGGGUUGUAAACUGCUUUUGCACGGGAAUAAACCUGCGUACGUGUACGCAGCUGAACGUACCGUGAGAAUAAGGAUCGGCUAACUCCGUGCCAGCAGCCGCGGUAAUACGGAGGAUCCGAGCGUUAUCCGGAAUUAUUGGGUUUAAAGGGUGCGUAGGCGGGAUGCUAAGUCAGUGGUGAAAUACGGUGGCUCAACCAUCGCAGUGCCGUUGAUACUGGUGUCCUUGAAUCUACUUGAGGUGGGCGGAAUGUGGCAAGUAGCGGUGAAAUGCAUAGAUAUGCCACAGAACACCGAUUGCGAAGGCAGCUUACCAAGGUACGAUUGACGCUGAGGCACGAAAGCGUGGGGAUCGAACAGGAUUAGAUACCCUGGUAGUCCACGCCCU